rnacentral:rRNA from 1 species
UUCCGGUUGAUCCCGCCGGACCUGACUGCUAUCGGAUUGAUACUAAGCCAUGCGAGUCUUUGUAGUAAUACAAGGCAUACGGCUCAGUAACACGUAGUCAACCUGCCCUAUGGACAAGAAUAAUCUCGGGAAACUGAGCAUAAUUCUUGAUAGAUCAUAAUGCCUGGAAUGGUUUAUGGUUAAAAUGAUUCGUCGCCAUAGGAUGGGACUGCGGCCUAUCAGCUUGUUGGUGAGGUAAUGGCACACCAAGGCGAUAACAGGUACGGGCUCUGAGAGGAGAAGCCCGGAGAUGGGUACUGAGACAAGGACCCAGGCCCUAUGGGGCGCAGCAGGCGAGAAAACUUUGCAAUGUGCGAAAGCACGACAAGGUUAGUCCGAGUGAUUUCUGCUAAAGAGAUCUUUUGCUAGUUAUAAAACCACUAGUGAAUAAGGGGUGGGCAAGUUCUGGUGUCAGCCGCCGCGGUAAAACCAGCACCUCAAGUGGUCAGGAUGAUUAUUGGGCCUAAAGCAUCCGUAGCCGGCUCUGUAAGUUUUCGGUUAAAUCUAUGCGCUCAACGUAUGGGCUGCCGAAAAUACUGCAGAGAUAGGGAGUGGGAGAGGUAGACGGUACUCGGUAGGAAGGGGUAAAAUCCUUUGAUCUAUCGAUGACCACCUGUGGCGAAGGCGGUCUACCAGAACACGUUCGACGGUGAGGGAUGAAAGCUGGGGGAGCAAACCGGAUUAGAUACCCGGGUAGUCCCAGCCGUAAACGAUGCAGACUCGAUGAUGCAUUGGCAUAUAGCCAGUGCAGUGUCGCAGGGAAGCCGUUAAGUCUGCCGCCUGGGAAGUACGUACGCAAGUAUGAAACUUAAAGGAAUUGGCGGGGGAGCACCACAAGGGGUGAAGCCUGCGGUUCAAUUGGAAUCAACGCCGGA